rnacentral:lncRNA from 1 species
GUAUUCAUCCUUUUCUUGUUGGUCAUACACAGAGAACUGGAGAAGGCAAGAAUGAAAGCAGUGUUGGAAUGGAAUCCAGGACCUGGUGCAAGCUAGACAAAUGUGCUCGGCUGAGUCCCAUCCCCACCCCACUGGGCAGCUUUGCUGGAGGGGUCUUGUGUUACACUGGAGACUGGGGUGUAGAAGGACACCGUGGAAGACAACCAGCUCUUGACAGACGGUGACCUGGGGGAGAAGGUAUGGCCCUGUGGCAGCCUUGACACAUGCUAACUAGUGCAUGACUUCUGUUCUAUAGCCAAAGGUGACUGAAAUCUGUGUUCUAUUCUUCUGCAUGAGUUUCACUCACUGAUGUGACAUAGGCCCCAGUACAGGAGAAUGCCAGGACCAGGAAGUGGGAGUGGGUGGGUUGGGGAGCAGGGCGGGGGAAGGGUAUAGGGGACUUUCGGGAUAGCAUUUGAAAUGUAAAUGAAGAAAAUAUCUAAUAAAAAAAUGAAAUGUAAAAUAAAGAGAGAGAGAGGGGAGAGAGAGAGAGAGAGAGAGGUGGCCGGCAGCAGCCCAGUUUUGUGUAUUGAGCAGACCCUCCAUCUGUAAAACACAUUUUGUCCAGUUUGCUAAAGCUCAGGCCAGGUCACUUGUACAGUCUAGAGAAUAACGGCCUUAACUGGCUACAAGAAGUAGGAAACAUGAAUGUAUACUUCAGCAACCCUGGGAACUUCGGCAGGAGUGGACUUUCAGAAAUUAGAAACCUAAAAACAUUCAAAGCUUGGGAGAAGAUAGAGUCUGGAGAACCCGUUCCUGUGGUGUCUGCAAGUGUCUUUCUGACCCAAAAGCUCCCACUGCAUCCGAGCUAAGGCGGUGAGCAGAGAUCUCGGCGGGGCAACUUCCGCGGAAUCCCACAGCCUGAGCAGUUGGGGUCUAGAACCCUGAUCUCCACCUUCCAGCUGCAAGGCUGAGUAAAACCCCAAGGCUCUUUGGCUCAGUCAGCCAAACGCUGGAGCCCGGCGCGGCGAUCAGGCUAAAUAAGCACGUGUUGCUAGGCUGGCGACAAAUAACGCGGCUAAUUCUUCUCGCCCCGCUGGUCCCUGAGCACAGGGGCAGUCGCCAGACCGCGCCCCAGAAGCAGCUGCAGAGGCCGAGGCCGCCCGGGAAGACACAGCGGGCCCGAGCUUGGGGUCCGCGCCCGCCGCGCCUUUCAGAGUUAAUUAGCCCUCAUGAAUAUGGAUGCCACUGCCGAUUUAAUACGGUUGAGAGGUCAUAACCUGACCUCGGCGAAAGAAAAGAGGACUUUUCUCAGCUCAGUCUCCUAAUUGAAAGGCUGAGUUGUAGACUGUGCGCCGUGGGUGAGAUCGCGCCACCGCCCAGGCUCUGCACGCCCAGGGAACAGUGGCUAGGGCAGCUGCCCGCAGCCACCGGGCUGCCCAGGAGCAGGGCCUAAUUACCUACAGGUACGUGCGGGGCUGUCUGCCGUGCCUCCCACCGAAAUGUCGCUGCCAUGCUAUUGCACUGGAAAUGGGUUCUGGACCCUUCCCUCUUCCACGAUGGUUUUCAUUUCCUGUAAUUUGGAGCUGGAAGCGUUUAUGGAACAUCACAUGGUCUUCGUUUACACAGGAAAUCAGCUGCAGUUGUGAGAAGAUACUGACUCGCUUUUUUUGGUUUGUUGUUGUUGUUGUUGUUGUUGUUUAUCCUUCCCUCCUCCCACCUCACCUCACUCCCCCAAAAGGAAAAGAGGAAAAAAGAGAAUAGACCAGCUUGUGACAUUUGCUUUUGAAA